UGUCAACAAAUCCGCCAUGUCGCAAUCCGAGAUACGUUCUCUGAACUUACACCAGCAAUUUUUCCUUCUUGCUAUGAACUAAAUGUGAGGAUCAAUAUGAUGGGUCUUUUUUCUCCCUAAUAGUGAGCCAACUAAUUUGUCAGAACUUAAAUAAGUACAUACAUGUGAAAUCAAAUUAAAGCAGUCCGUAAAGAAGCAUUUUUUAGUAAAGCUGAUUAUCAUUUCAUUUUAGGUUAUUGUAUGCUCACUUGAGAAAGUUUAUGAGAAUUCAAUUCAGAAGGAAAAAUUUAAAAGUUACUUUUUCUUCAAAGUUAAUGCUCAUAUAUUUAAAGCAGGACUUUUUCUCUCUUGAUGUAAAUAUUUCCUGUAUUAUCUUUCCUUAAUUGUAAGGUUUUAUACGAUACAUGUAAUCAAAACAACUGUUUGAUUUGAAAAAAACUGAUCAGAAUCUUUUGUAACUGAUGCCUGCCUUCAACCAAAACCAGAAGCAAAGUUUCAGCAAAGUAAGCCGAUCAAUAAAGUUUUUACGAUAUCGGUAAUCUUCACUAAGCGAUACAACCAAACAAUUAUACUAAUAUCAAGUUGUAUCAUGAACGAACAGCCUCAUUUGCCAAGGAAAAAGGUAAUAUUUCCCACUCAGAGACCUUGAACAGAAAGUUUGUUGAAGUCCUCUGAAUUGGAUGAGUGCUAUUUUUCCACCUCUCUGGAUUAAGUGAUUAAUCUCUCAUGAAUUUCCUUUUGCAGCUAUUCCAAAUUUACUUCUCUCCACCUGUGAAACAAAUGCAUGUCCGAAUUCACUACUCUCAACAUCAGAAGCGAUUGCAUCUCAAGAGGAAGAUGAUAAUAAUAUUGAGGUAUCUCGUGAAACCUGUUGUGUUGCCGGUUGUGAAAAUGCAUCCCUGCAACGUAGUGAAAAGCAUGAGUUAUGUUUCUUUCCCUUUCCCAGGGACAAACAAAGAAGGCAACUCUGGAUUAAUUUUUGCAGAGAGAAUCUAGAUUUAAUUCUUACAAAAGUAAGAUUUGCAGCAGACAUUUUAGUCAAGAGCAGCUUGUUCAAUAUGUAGUCCGAGGAGAACAAACUAUGAAAACAAAACUAAAAAAGAAUGGUGAGAAACAUUUUGUCAGCUUGCUGCCCAUGCUAUACUUUACUGAUACUCAACAUAGUCAAAAAUCAUUUAUCAAGAUAUUUUCACCUAUCUACUACAGUCAACUCUCGAUAAUUCGAAUUUCAAGGGACUGGAGAAAAAUUCGUAGCAACGAGAGUUUUGAAUUAGUGACGUCUUUGAAUCAAUUAAGUGUUCAAAUUAGGAGGUUUGGGCUAAAAAAAUUCGAAUUAAAGAGAAUCCAAAGAGAUCGUGAGAAUGAAGACGGAUUAACAAAUUUUGUCACCUUAUUCGCAUCUUUACAAUGGAUAAAAAAUGCUGGAUGUCAUGUGUUUGUCACUCUGGGAAAUUAAUGAGUUUUCAGUUGACAGAGAGGUUUUUUGGUAUCUUUUUGUUGUUGACUUGCUAGAAGUUUUGAAGUAAUGAGAGUCUCUUUCUAAAAUUUCGAAUUAUCGAGGUAGUUUGGUUACGCUGGUUUCUAAAAAAUUUGAAUUAUCAAGAUGAGAAAAAUGCAUUGAUUUUUUUCGAAUUAUCAAGAUGUUCCUAAAGGGACAACAGUCCACUUCGUACUGAUGAAAGUUUCGAACUCUCAAAAAUCAACUGUACUGAGUGAUUCAUCACAAUAUUCAUCCUAAUUUGAUCACUUAAAAAUUGUCCAGUAAAUGUAAACUAGGUAUUUUUCA